CUUAAAUUCUACCCAGAGACCAGUAGGCAGAAAAAGCAACUUUUUCACUUAUUGUUAAAUGCAAAUUCAAAAAAAGAUUAAAGCCAUAUUAUCUAAUCUGUAUCACCUUUUAAGAGAGGAGCCUGGUCAUCUGGUCAAGCACGGAAGUGGGCGACUUGCAGGAAUGAUGACAAUCAAUCUUCAUGUAACACUUUGAAGUGCUGUCUUGUGUAUGGCUUCCAGCUGUCUCUGUUCUCCUGUGUUCAGCCAUGCUACUCUGACCCAAAAAGCUUUAAAAGGAAUGCUGGAUCUCCCUAAUUAUCCUGAUCCAAAUGGAAGGUCAGGUUUUUAUUAUAAUAUAAUAUUUCUUUGUGUAUGUGAGAGAGACUCUAAGGGAAGCUGUGGAAUCUCCCUCAUUGGAGGUUUCCCAACAAGAGCCUGGGACCAAGCAUCUGUGUGGGAUGGUUUGGAAAUAGCAAACCUAUUUGUGUAAGGGGGAGGGGAGGAAUUCUGUAAAAUUCAUGUAGCGAUUCUUAGUCUGUCUAAAAUCUAAUGUUCACAGACACAUCUGUUCUCUCCUUUAAGCAGCACUCAGCUGCAUUAGGCUGCUUGUGUAAUGCUUAGAAACAGCUCUUGGAUUUUAGCACAAACUGCUGCAGACGGCUGGAUUCAUCCAGGUUUGACCAAGCUCAUGUGGUUUAUUUAAAUGAGUCUUGUGCCAGCUGAACUGGAUGUUGAUUUUAAUAUGUCCUGCAGAUGUGCAUUUCAACUGCAAUUGCACAUUGGACAGCAAACAUUUCCUUAGCAAUACCUCCCAUUCUGCAAAAGGGUUCUCCAGAAAGAGUACAUUGAAAUACCCUUUAAAAUGGAUCCUCAAUUUCCAGAUGGGCACAUAUAUGUAGAAAAUGAGCAAAUGAUACAAAAUAUUAAGAGCUGUGUUUGUAUAACACUGGUUUCUGUGGGACGUUCCUAGAAACGGAGCAGCAAGAAAGGAAUGUGGAAAGUUCUGACCCAUAUCUGAAGAUGAAUGGUGAGGAAACUGAGGCAGAAAACUGCUGGCAGCCUAUCCAAGUCAGCCUGGAUCACCAGCCUAUCCUCAGGUGUGGAUGCUCUACCCCAAAGUUUGGUGUCAUUGGUAAACUUGGCCAGUCCACUUCUGACACCAAUAUCCACGUUGUUGGUAAAGACGUUGAAGAGAACAGGUCCAAGAAUGGAGCCUUGGGGGUCACCACUGGUCACGGAGCACCAUGAUGAUUCGCUUCCAUCAACCACCAGUCUCUGGGUCUGACCUCGGAGCCAAUUCCCCAACCAUUGGACUGUGAUGCACCCGAGGCCACAGUUGGCCAAUUUUUUCAGGAGGAGAUCAUGGGACACCAGAUCAAAGGCUUUUUUAAAGUCCAGGUAUGUGAGGUCAAUCUCUUCUCCCUUGUCCAUUUGUAGCGGAUGCAGCA